rnacentral:rRNA from 1 species
GCCUGAUCCUGGCUCAGAUUGAACGCUGGCGGAUGUUUACACAUGCAAGUCGAACGGCAGCACGGACUGGUCUGGUGGCGAGUGGCGAAUUGGUGAGUAAUGUAUCGGAACGUGCUCAGUAGCGGGGAUAACUACGCGAAAGCGUAGCUAAUACGUCGCGUACGCCCUUCGGGGGAAAGCGGGGGACCUUCGGGCCUCGCACUAUUAGAGCGGCCGAUAUCGGAUUAGCUAGUUGCGGGUAACGGCUCACCAAGGCGACGAUCCGUAGCUGGUUUGAGAGGACGACCAGCCACACUGGGACUGAGACACGGCCCAGACUCCUACGGGAGGCAGCAGUGGGGAAUUUUGGACAAUGGGGAAACCCUGAUCCAGCCAUCCGCGUGUGCGAUGAAGGCCUUCGGGUUAAAGCACUUCUGGCAGGAAAGAAACGGCACGGGAUAAUACCCCGUGCAACUGACGGUACCUGCAGAAUAAGCACCGGCUAACUACGUGCCAGCAGCCGCGGUAAUACGUAGGGUGCAAGCGUUAAUCGGAAUUACUGGGCGUAAAGCGUGCGCAGGCGGUUCGGAAAGAAAGAUGUGAAAUCCCAGAGCUUAACUUUGGAACUGCAUUUUUAACUACCGAGUUAGAGUGUGUUCAGAGGGAGGUGGAAUUCCGCGUGUAGCAGUGAAAAUGCGUGAUAAGCAGAGGAACACCGAUGGCGAAGGCAGCCUCCUGGGAUAACAAUUUGACGCUCAUGCACGAAAGCGUGGGGAGCAAACAGAUACACCGGUAGUCCACGCCCUAAACGAUGUCAACUAGCUGUUGGGGCCUUCGGGCCUUGGUAGCGCAGCUAACGCGUGAAGUUGACCGCCUGGGAAAGUACGGUAACGCAAGAUUAAAACCCAAAGGAAUUGACGGGGACUCGCAAUAAGCGGUGGAUGAUGUGGAUUAAUUCGAUGCAACGCGAAAACCUUACCUACCCUUGACAUGUCUGGAAUCCCGAAGAGAUUUGGGAGUGCUCGCAAGAGAACCGGAACACAGGUGCUGCAUGGCUGUCGUCAGCUCGUCGUGAGAUGUUGGGUUAAGUCCCGCAACGAGCGCAACCCUUGUCAUUAGUUGCUACGAAAGGGCACUCUAUCGAGACUGCCGGUGACAAACUGGAGAAGGUGGGGAUGACGUCAAGUCCUCAAGUAUCUUUGCGUAGGCUUCAAGACGUCAUACAACAGCUGGGACAGAGGACGCCAACCCGCGAGGGGAGCCAAUCCCAGAAACCCGACUGGGACCGGAUCGCAGUCUGCAACUCGAUCAAGCGGAAGUCGGGAAUCGCUAGUAAUCGCGAUCGUGCAUGUCGCGUGAAUACGUUCCUGGCCCUGUACACACCGCCCGUCACACCAUGGGAGUGGGUUUUACCAGAAGUAGUUAGCCUAACCGUAAGGAGGGCGAUUACCACAGGUAGGAUUCAAGAGACUGGGGUGAAGUCGUAACAAGGUAG